rnacentral:lncRNA from 10 species
GCCUUAUUGAGGGGAGUGUUGGCAUACACGGAUUCUUAGCCUUGCACCUGGAGGUUUUGAUUCAGUAGGUCGAGGGCAAGGCCUCAGCAUCUGGGUUGUAUGAAGCUUGUCGGUGACUCUGAUGAUCAGCCAGGUGUGGGAACUGUGGACAGAGCAGCAAUCCUCAAAGUGUAUUUGCUCCCACGAAUUGCUGGGCGCUCCAUCUUUUGUGGCCCAGGGGCUGACCCCAGGAAGGUAGGGUGAGGGUGGAAAAGGCAAAAGCCAGGGGAAAUACAGGGCCUCGAAGUCUCACUGUUGUCCCACCUCCUGCCAGGUCAUGUGGUGGGACAUCCGAAAGAUGAGUGAGCCCACUGAGGUCGUGAUCAUGGACAUCACCAAAAAGGAGCAGUUGGAAAAUGCCUUGGGGGCCAUCUCCCUGGAGUUCGAAUCUACUUUGCCCACCAAGUUCAUGGUGGGGACUGAGCAGGGCAUCAUCAUCUCCUGCAACCGCAAGGCCAAGACAUCAGCUGAGAAGAUCGUGUGCACCUUCCCGGGCCAUCAUGGCCCCAUCUACGCCCUCCAGAGAAACCCCUUCUACCCGAAGAACUUCCUGACAGUUGGUGACUGGACAGCCCGCAUCUGGUCUGAAGACAGCCGGGAAUCGUCCAUCAUGUGGACCAAGUACCACAUGGCUUACCUCACUGAUGCCGCCUGGAGCCCCAUAAGGCCGGCCGUUUUCUUUACCACCAAGAUGGACGGAACCCUGGACAUCUGGGACUUUGUGUUCAAGCAGUGCGACCCCGCCCUCAGCCUGAAGGUGUGUGACGAGGCCCUCUUCUGCCUCCGGGUGCAGGACAAUGGGUGUUUCAUCGCCUGCGGAUCCCAGCUGGGGACAACCACCCUGCUGGAGGUCUCGCCUGGGCUCUCUACCCUCCAGAGGAAUGAGAAGAACGUAGCCUCUUCCGUAAGCACCGCAUGCCUGGGGAGAACCCCUCCAGCACGUCCCGACCUGGCCCCACCGCAAAGCAGGCUGGUCAGAAAAAUAGAUAGCCCCUCCCUCCCACCCCCUAGGACAUGGGUGC